CCCAGUUUAAUUUUUUUUUGUCAUUGAUUGGGUCAUGACAAUAGAAAUGGCAUACAAUGGACCUGGUGACCUUAAUGGACCUAUUGGCAUCUGGCUCUUUUUUUGUACACAACAAAGUGCUCAUACAAUGGACCUGUUGGCACUUGCCUCCUCUCCAAUACACAACAAAGUGCUCAAACAAUAGACCUAAUGGCAUCUGUCUCCUCUCCCAUACUAAUAAAGUGCUCAGGCCAAACUGAUCAGAGUGACAAAGAAGCAAAGAAGACUGGACAACAAAAGAAAACUGAAGUUAUGAGAAUUAAUAACAAACAAGAGAGCCCAGGCAUACUAUAGGUGGAGAAAUCUAAGACCAUUUUGUUUGCCUAUCUGUGAAGUGGGGAUAAUCAAAACAGUGAAAUUAAAGACAAUAUAAGACAUUGCAUUGAUAAAGCUAGGUUUGCCUGUCAUUCCAAAGCACUUUCUUUAAAGAACAAGAACCAAAUUCUAACACAAAUGUAGAGAGUCAAAAGACAAAUAUAAAAAACUCAAGAUCUUUGCCAACAAGUGCCUAUGUUGGUUACUGAGAAUCAGGUGGUCCAAAAGACAUCUACUGUUAAAUUGUGAGAGAGAACUGAGCAGAAAAAAAAGUGUUAGGCUGUAACAGAUGUGGUAGAGGUCAGUCAUCAGUGAAGCUAAGGAUUAUGAAAUAAACUGGGAGCAGAUAAAGAAAGCUGCUCAGAAUAGACUUUGGCAGAUUGUUCUGGUUGCAGCUCUAUGCUCACCUGGGAUACACAGGAACAAGUCAAGCUAAGAAUUACAUAUGAAUUGGAUAAUAGUAUAAUAUUAAUGACAUUUGCUAACUUGAACAUUUGAUGUGGUGAUGGUAACUACAAUAGAUCUACAUCAGAUGUCUGACUUCUAUAAACUGAGUGGUUGAUAUGGAAACAGUAAUUGUCAUCAAUCUAAAUCAGAAUGUUGUGAACUAAGGAACAAGAGUUCUGAUGUCUGCUUACUGUACAGACAGUAGUUCAAGAGGACUAGAUCAGGUCAUGUAUUCACAUUUAUUAUCUCCCCUAGUUUUUAGUUUGUUUAAUAUGUUUCAGAUAAUCUUUCAGAUUUGAAGAGUAUUACAUCCCAGUUCAAACUUCUCACAGGAUGACUGGGGAUUUACCAAAUCCAGAGCACAUACCACAUGACCAGGCAGUCAUCCUAUACAUUAAAGUGUCGCAUGGGUCUCAUACAUUACACUUAAUUUCUUUUAUUUAUUAUUUAUAUUGUUAGAUGAUUCUGACCCAUUUAAACAUACAAUCUAAUGCUUGGUAAAUUGUAUUUCUUAGAAAUGUUCAUCCAUUAGUGUUAUCAUAUGCUGAGUUGUUUAUAAAUUACGAUAAUAUGAUGCCUUUAGUAGAAAACCUAACGUAAAAAUUUGUCAUAAACUAAUUUCUCAAUGAAAGCUUAAGAAUUACUCAGUAACAAUUAAAAUAUCGUGAGAUCAUUUAAAAGAAAUUAAUUUGGUACUAAUUAAAAAAGAAAAUAAAGUGAUUAUUAUAUGACAUUACAAAUUAAACUUAAUAACAAUUAAAUAUAAUAUUAGACAAGUACUAUCAAGCACAAUAUUUAACCCUACCAGAUCUUAAAACCUAAACCAAAUUGUCCCCAAUGCUGGAGUUCCAGAGCCCCACUCCUUUAUUUCUUACUAUCCUUCUGGCUGUAAUAAAGUUAAAGGGACUGCUGUGACCAUGCCUUGUAUCAGGAAGAGGAGCCUCCUUCAUUUGAUACAUAUACCAAAGCACUUUUAAAAUUGAUGAAAGACAAUACAUCUU
rnacentral:sRNA from 1 species